rnacentral:tRNA from 1 species
GGGUGUUAGCUCAGUUGGUAGAGCAGUGUCCUUUUAAGUCAUUGGUCGCUGGUUCGAAUCCAGCACACCC